rnacentral:rRNA from 1 species
UUCGUAGGCGGGAUAUUAAGUCAGUAGUGAAAUCCUGCAGCUUAACUGUAGAACUGUUAUUGAUACUGGUUUUCUUGAAUAUAGUUGAGGUAGGCGGAAUGUGUAAUGUAGCGGUGAAAUGCUUAGAUAUUACACAGAACACCGAUUGCGAAGGCAGCUUACUAAGCUAUGAUUGACGCUGAGGUACGAAAGCGUGGGGAGCGAACAGGAUUAGAUACCCUGGUAGUCC